UGAGUAACCUGCCCUUCACUCUGGGAUAACUCCGGGAAACCGGGGCUAAUACCGGAUACGAGUCCGAGCGGCAUCACACGGACUGGAAAGUUUUUCGGCUAAGGAUGGGCUCGCGGCCUAUCAGCUUGUUGGUGGGUAAUGGCCCACCAAGGCGACGACGGGUAGCCGGCCUGAGAGGGCGACCGGCCACACUGGGACUGAGACACGGCCCAGACUCCUACGGGAGCAGCA
rnacentral:rRNA from 1 species